rnacentral:misc_RNA from 1 species
GAUGAAGAACGCAGCGAAAUGCGAUAACUAAUGUGAAUUGCAGAAUUUAGUGAAUCAUCGAGUCUUUGAACGCACAUUGCGCCCCCUGGUAUUCCGGGGGGCAUGCCUGUCCGAGCGUCAUUGCUGCCCUCAAGCACGGCUUGUGUGUUGGGCUCCGUCCCCCCGGGGACGGGCCCGAAAGGCAGCGGCGGCACCGAGUCCGGUCCUCGAGCGUAUGGGGCUUUGUCACCCGCUCUGUAGGCCCGGCCGGCGCCAGCCGACAACCCAUCAUCCUUUUCAGGUUGACCUCGGAUCAGGUAGGGAUACCCGCUGAACUUAAGCAUAUCAAUAAGCGGAGGA